CAAUUCCUACAACAUACUACACACGAACAUGUACUAUAACGUGCACUAUCCGCUGGGGUGUUUGCUGGGCUAAAAAGAAUAUAUGUCGAAAUGAAGCUCGCUCUCGUCAUAAAACAGUAUACCGAAGAGUGACCAAAUGGAGACCAGUGUAUUAUUGCAAAAACGGCUGGAAGCGAAGUGGUUCCCAUUGCACAAUCGCUGAAUGUAUUGGUUGCCAUAACAGAGGAUAUUGCAGACAGCCAUGGAUUUGCACAUGUCACCAAGGCUGGAG